rnacentral:rRNA from 1 species
AGCAGCCGCGGUAAUUCCAGCUCCAAUAGCGUAUAUUAAAGUUGUUGCAGUUAAAAAGCUCGUAGUUGAAUUUCGGGAUUGGCGCAUCGGUCGUGCCUCACGGGGUAUGAACUGGUGCAGUCAAUUUCUCACCUUCUGGAGAACCGCGAUGUCCUUAAUUGGAUGCCGCGGGGAACCAGGACCUUUACUUUGAAAAAAUUAGAGUGUUUAAAGCAGGCAUUUUUGCUUGAAUACAUUAGCAUGGAAUAAUAAAAUAGGACGGCAUGGUUCUAUUUUGUUGGUUUCUAGGACCACCGUAAUGAUUAAUAGGGAUAGUUGGGGGCAUUAGUAUUCAAUUGUCAGAGGUGAAAUUCUUGGAUUUAUUGAAGACUAACUACUGCGAAAGCAUUUGCCAAGGAUGUUUUCAUUAAUCAAGAACGAAAGUUAGGGGAUCGAAGACGAUCAGAUACCGUCGUAGUCUUAACCAUAAACUAUGCCGACUA